rnacentral:rRNA from 1 species
GAUGAACGCUAGCGGCAGGCUUAACACAUGCAAGUCGAGGGGUAUGCCGAUUUAUCGGCAGAGACCGGCGCACGGGUGCGUAACGCGUAUGCAAUCUACCUUUCACAGAGGGAUAGCCCAGAGAAAUUUGGAUUAAUACCUCAUAGUAUAGCAAUUUCGCAUGAAACCACUAUUAAAGUUCCAACGGUGAAAGAUGAGCAUGCGUCCCAUUAGCUAGAUGGUAAGGUAACGGCUUACCAUGGCUACGAUGGGUAGGGGUCCUGAGAGGGAGAUCCCCCCANACUGGUACUGAGACACGGACCAGACUCCUACGGGAGGCAGCAGUGAGGAAUAUUGGACAAUGGGCGCAAGCCUGAUCCAGCCAUGCCGCGUGCAGGAUGACGGUCCUAUGGAUUGUAAACUGCUUUUGUACAGGAAGAAACACUACUUCGUAGAAGUAGCUUGACGGUACUGUAAGAAUAAGGAUCGGCUAACUCCGUG